UCUGCUCAAUGUUUAUAUAAAUAGCUGCAGACUACUGUACUAAGGUAGCAUAAUCACUCGCCUUUUAAUUGAAGGAUAGAAUGAAAGAAUUAACGUAUCACCACCUGUCUCUUAUAAACCCAUAUAAAUUUACAUUAAAGUAAAAAGGCUUUAAAAAAAAAGAUGGACGACAAGACCCUGACGAAUUUUACUUCAAGUUUUACUGGGGCAGUAAUUUAACUAAAUCUUAAUAUUAACCUUCCAUAAGUAAAAGUCCAACUUAAUACUAAAACAAAUUACCGCAGGGAUAACAGCACAAUAUCUUAAUAAAGAACAUAUAGUAUAAGAAAAUUGUGACCUCGAUGUUGAAUUAUCCUUCUCUAAUAAGAAAAUAAAUUAAAAGUUAGUCUGUUCGACUAUUAAAAAGAUACGU
rnacentral:rRNA from 1 species